rnacentral:snoRNA from 1 species
AGCAUUUGUGUGUCUGUUUUUGUCUAGCUUGUGGACUAAGACUUAGGGACAGGUGCAGAAAGGGAAUUUUCUCUUGCAGCCCAUAACUCACUGUUCAGUACAUGCAAGAAGGGACACU